AUGGGACUAUUAUAUAUAUGUGUGUGCUCAUAUAUAUUUAUGUAUAUUAGAAAGUGUAGAUUUGUCAUCACUUCAUUUCAUUCAUUAAAGAGAGAUGCAACCCACAUUUAACUUUAUUUUCAUUAUUUUAAGUCCCCCUCCCUUCUUUUUACUGACUAUCUGGAUGAGAAAUUUAAGUAAGUACUAUGAUGUCCUGCAAAGAGACUAAAUCUGUCAUCACCUUAAUCACAGUUUACACAGUUUGUCAGACCACAUCACCUUGACAGAUCAGACUGAAUUACUUCGAUGACUGGCAAAUGGGUGCCACUUGUGGUAGAAAUGAAAGCAACCAGAUUGAAGAGUGUGCUAAGGUGUGAAGAAGAUGAAAACAGAACUUUUUCUUUUCUCUAGAAGUCGAAAUCAGGCAUCUCUAUCUGCAGAGUUUUCCCUACCAUCCAGUUUGGUGCUACAGAAUGAUUGGCAGAAAUCUUACUUUUCAUAAAGAGAUUGGCUCAGAGGGACUUUAUGCCUGCUUAUCAAGUUCAAGGGAAUAAAUGCAAACUCCUUACCUGGGUAAGAUGCACCUUCUCUAGGCCCAGGGUGGACUGAACAUCUGCUCACUGAAUCUAUGCUUUAUAUCAUCUUUCAUAUUUUCUUGUUGGAAAGACUAGCAUUGGAGAAUCAUUGUGUUACUGCCAGCAAAAAAAUGAAAGCACAUCGAUACACUGAGAAUAAUACCACAGUGACCAACAGUUAAUGAUACCCAUAUACACAAGUUUCAGCAAGAGAAGUUUUCAAGAUACAAUGCCUCACUGGCCAGAAAUCAGAAAACAUUUUAUGAUUAAUCUGCUUAAACUCAUAGAACUCCUACAAAUUAACAUGCAUCAAAACAUGCAUUAUCUUCUCAACUUAAUUGAGUAUU